rnacentral:rRNA from 1 species
AGUGAACGCUGGCGGUAGGCCUAACACAUGCAAGUCGAACGGCAGCACAGUAAGAGCUUGCUCUUACGGGUGGCGAGUGGCGGACGGGUGAGGAAUACAUCGGAAUCUACUUUUUCGUGGGGGAUAACGUAGGGAAACUUACGCUAAUACCGCAUACGACCUACGGGUGAAAGCAGGGGAUCUUCGGACCUUGCGCGAUUGAAUGAGCCGAUGUCGGAUUAGCUAGUUGGCGGGGUAAAGGCCCACCAAGGCGACGAUCCGUAGCUGGUCUGAGAGGAUGAACAGCCACAGUGGAACUGAGACACGGUCCAGCCCCCUAGGGGGGGCAGCAGGGGGAAAUAUUGGAAAAGGGGGGCAAGCCUGAUCCAGCCAUACCGGGGGGGUGAAGAAGGCCUUCGGGUUGUAAAGCCUUUUUGUGGGGAAAAAAAAGCAGCAGGUUAAAACCCCGCUGUUCUGACGGUACCCAAAAAAUAAGCACCGGCUAACUUCGU